rnacentral:rRNA from 1 species
AUACGGAGGGUGCAAGCGUUAAUCGGAAUUACUGGGCGUAAAGCGCGCGUAGGCGGUUUGAUAAGUCGGAUGUGAAAUCCCCGGGCUCAACCUGGGAAUUGCAUUCGAUACUGUCAGGCUAGAGUGUGGUAGAGGGAAGUGGAAUUUCCGGUGUAGCGGUGAAAUGCGUAGAUAUCGGAAGGAACACCAGUGGCGAAGGCGGCUUCCUGGACCAACACUGACGCUAAGGCGUGAAAGCGUGGGGAGCAAACAGGAUUAGAAACCCUAGUAGUCC